rnacentral:rRNA from 1 species
UACGUAGGGUGCGAGCGUUAAUCGGAAUUACUGGGCGUAAAGCGUGCGCAGGCGGUUUUGUAAGCCAGAUGUGAAAUCCCCGGGCUUAACCUGGGAAUGGCAUUUGGGACUGCAAGGCUGGAGUGCGGCAGAGGAGACUGGAAUUCCUGGUGUAGCAGUGAAAUGCGUAGAGAUCCGGAAGAACACCGGUGGCGAAGGCGGUCUGCUGGGGUGAGGCUGACGCUGAUGCGCGACAGCGUGGGGAGCAAACAGG